AUUGAACGCUGGCGGCAUGCCUUACGCAUGCAAGUCGAACGGCAGCACGGGAGCAAUCCUGGUGGCGAGUGGCGAACGGGUGCGUAAAGUAUCGGAACGUGCCCAGUCGUGGGGGAUAACGUAGCGAAAGUUGCGCUAAUACCGCAUACGAUCUAGGGAUGAACGCGGGGGAUCGCAAGACCUCGCGCGCUUGGAGCGGCCGAUAUCAGAUUAGGUGGUUGGUGGGGUAAAGGCUCACCAAGCCGACGAUCUGUAGCUGGUCUGAGAGGACGACCAGCCACACUGGGACUGGGACACGGCCCAGACUCCUACGGGAGGCAGCAGUGGGGAAUUUUGGACAAUGGGCGAAAGCCUGAUCCAGCCAUGCCGCGUGCAGGAUGAAGGCCUUCGGGUUGUAAACUGCUUUUGUACGGAACGAAAAGGUUUGGCCUAAUAAGCUGAGCUCAUGACGGUACCGUAAGAAUACGCACCGGCUAACUACGUGCCAGCCGCCGCCGUAA
rnacentral:rRNA from 1 species